CCUAAACCAAUAGGAUGAAGUAGAUAUUUCCUCUUCUUCACAAAGGAGCAAAGGCUCAGAGAGGGGAAGUGACUAUUCUCCUUGAGUCGCCUUGAGAGAGACUCCAGAAGAACCUCCCAGCCUCAUGAGAAGUGGCCCCAAAAUGCCCAUGUCCUUCUGCCCCAAUUCUCCUGCUGCCUCAGCAGAGGAAGAGACUUCAUUGUACCUUCGACUACUGGGCCAGGACUUCCAAGAGGGCUGGAUUUCCUUCUCCCCACCAUGGCGUUCUACUCUGCAGAUGCUGCCCUGCGCUAGGCACCUGCUUUCCUGACCCAUGAAGAG
rnacentral:lncRNA from 1 species